rnacentral:lncRNA from 10 species
GCACAGAGGAGGAAAGGAAGCAGCCCCUCCCCCUCAUUGAGCCCCCACCUGGGAGAGGAUGGAGUGAAGGAGAAGCAGGCUCCCGGGCCUCUGACUGUCCUCACUUUGUUUCCAGCCAGCCCCCUGGUUCUCUGGGCCUCUAUUUAUUUCCUCAUCAGUAAAAGGAGGCCAUAAUCCUUGUCCUGGCUUCCUCUUGGAGUUUCGUAAGAGUUCAAUGAACCCAAGGACGUGAAAGGUGUUAUGCAAAUGAGAGACAUUAUGAGUUAUCUAUUGGGAGGCUUGGAUCCUGAGCUUGGCUCUGUCUCCAGGAAAGAGGCCUCAAGUUUCCUUCUGCAGCAGCGCAGCAUACGGGGUGCACAGUGAUCCACCCAAACGGCAGCUAUGCUGCCGGGGCUGGUGAGACGUGGUCAUUCACAAGGCAGCUCGCUGUGCUGCACAGCAGGUUGCUGCCCGGAGUCGCCAUGAAGGAAUGUGAUGCAGCCUAUUGGAGGAGAACCAAACCCCACCACCACCCCAGAAAGCCAUACCAGCUGCCGACAUGUACAUGGGCUCAUCGGGGGUUUUCCAGGCCCACUGAUGUUCCAGCUGAGCACAGCUGCCGGCUCCCGGGCCGAGCAGCAGGGCGUGCCGGCCACCUCGUAGGU